AACGAACGCUGGCGGCAGGCCUAACACAUGCAAGUCGAACGCACCGCAAGGUGAGUGGCGCACGGGUGAGUAACACGUGGGAAUGUAUCCUUUGGUUCGGAAUAACGUCUGGAAACGGACGCUAAUACCGGAUGAGCCCUUAGGGGGAAAGAUUUAUCGCCGAAGGAGCAGCCCGCGUCUGAUUAGGUAGUUGGUGGGGUAAAGGCCUACCAAGCCGACGAUCAGUAGCUGGUCUGAGAGGAUGAUCAGCCACACUGGGACUGAGACACGGCCCAGACUCCUACGGGAGGCAGCAGUGGGGAAUAUUGGACAAUGGGCGCAAGCCUGAUCCAGCCAUGCCGCGUGAGUGAUGAAGGCCUUCGGGUUGUAAAGCUCUUUCGCACACGACGAUGAUGACGGUAGUGUGAGAAGAAGCCCCGGCUAACUUCGUGCCAGCAGCCGCGGUAAAAC
rnacentral:rRNA from 1 species